ACAAUUCUUACUUCAAACGUCCAGCACCAUAAAGCAUUUCAGGUGGCCCUAUAAAGCAAUCGAGAUAACGGAAAGCAGCCAAGACCAGGCAGAACAAAAGCUAUGAUGUGAGAGAGGCAGUCUGAAGCCUUGUGCAAGUCAGAACAGGAAAAGCUUAUCGGCAAGCCCAACCAGCUUUACUGACCUGGAGCCGGGUGACAGUGAGACAACUUGAUUAUCAUCAUCAGGAACAGUAUUGCCACAGCGGCUACCUGUGGGAAUCCUGCCCGGGCGUGAGACGCUGAUCACAGCUUUUUCCCACUGAUCUGGCAACUGGGGAAUAAAAAGGGUGAUCACCAUCAAGCAAUGGCUGUGUAGGCCAGCAGCAGCCCCAUCUGCAGCAUGGCAUCAGCAGGGCUUUAGUGACCUCCUCUCCCCCCACCUCUGGAUACUGCAUCUUUCAUUGCAGUCAAUUGCUGUCAAGCUCUAGAUAAGGAGCUGGGUUUUUUUUCUCUUUCCCUUCACCCUGCAAAUUAUCCUUAGGCAAAACCAAACUGCUUGCAAACUCCUGGCUGCCAGCAUUCAACAUCUAAGACACACAAUUUGUCUCCUAAGGUACAUAAGAUAGUUUU